rnacentral:lncRNA from 1 species
UGAAUACUUGCUACAGAUUUUUUUUAUUUGAAAUACAGAGAGAAAGAACGGUCGUUGCACGACCGACCUAAACACAAACCACCUUCCUAAUGACUCGUGCCAUCCCACGAAUCAGAUCCUGCGUCCAGGAUCUACAGCUCCACUAUUAUCGCGUGCGAUCUGAUGUGCCAUGCCAUCCCAUGACUCGGUUCACGACGCGGUAGAAACAGGAGCGACCCCAACCUGACACAUGGACUCGAUGCAUGGACUCGACGCAAACAUGCUUGCUGUCGAGACCGACUCUCAGUGUGUACCAUCUGCUCGCAGGCAGGUCUAUGGCACGUUAUUUGGAACAAACAGACUGAAGGGAAAAAAACCUAGGGCAUUCACUUAGUUUACAUCAAUGGAUCAGCCCUCAAUCCACAAACCCACAUGGCGAAGUUGUCUUAGUGAAUCUCGUCGUUCUCCGAGUCGGAUAAGUGGUUGUCAACCUGCUCGUCCCAAGCCUGCCAUGCCGUCAUCCCCAAACACUACAUCGAGAUCCAUUACAUUACAUCAUGACCAGGUGGAAAAAACUGAAAUCUUGGAAAAAUUGAAAGGAGAUCGAGUUCAUACCCUCCUCAUCUGGACACGGCGGUUCUUGAACCAGAAUUUGAUCUGCUGGGGCUGCACGCCAAGUUCGCGGCCGAGAUGGGCAUGCUGGGUCUCAUCAGGGUUGGGGCACACCUUGAAAGUCCUGCAGUUUUCAAAAAACGAAAACGAAAACCUUGAAUACCCUGUACAUGGAUCACCAUGAAAAUAUGACACGAGAAAUAAGCCAUAGGAAAUGGUGCUUGAUCAACCUCUCGAGGAUCUGAAUCUGGUUGUCACUUAGAUCGAUUGUUACCAAUUUCUUGCUUGCUCGCUCACUCUCCCAGGCUGCCUAGAGGAACAGGAAGUGGAGGCAGGAAGAUAUCUUCGUUCUGGAUGCUAUCUGACCUCUGGUUUGCUCCUAUUUAUACAUGAGAGGGUGCUAUUUCUCCUCUGUCAUAGUGCUGGCGCAAAGAAGCAUCCGUCUGUGUGACCUCUGGCUUGCUGCUGGCAGACUCCUGGCCGGUCUCUCUUAAUGCCUCCUAGUAUUUGGCUUCUUCCACCCUAUAAUGCUGACCGUCCUUCCCUGUAUUGCUCGGGAGCGCCAGCAGCAGAAACGUUGGCUUUGACUUCUGACAACCUUGGCGGGCUCGCUGGGUGGUCUUGUUGGUUUCUCUUUAUGCCUCUCUCUUGGCUUUGUCCCUGUCUUGCUCGGGAGCGCCAGCAGUAGCGUGGUAGUACUAGUAACUGAUGCAUUGUCAGAAGUGUAUCAACACAUUCAUUUUAUCAGAAGUACUAUUGGGUUUAUUGACCUCCGAUAUAAGAAGCAGUGCUUUCCGAUUUAAACCAUAUAAUCUAUAGUUUUAUUUAGCAGAAUUUGCUAAUAACCUUCAAAUCAAACAACUUAAGAGUUUAUGGACCUGCUUCUGUACGUGUCCUACUGGGUUUGGGCCAAGAAAUCAGAGAGACCUGAAAAUGGCCUGUGACAUGUCUUGAGUUCUUAAUUUUUCCCCUCCCACAAUUAACAUUGUUCCUCUUGUAGAAAGGGAGAUAAUUAAUCCUGAAGUUACAUCCAUGUAUGGCUUGUUAACCAUUAUAAUAAAUUCUGCAAUAUUUUAGCAUGCAAUUGAUAGGCAUUAAUUUCCAGCCUCUUAUGUAUGGAUAUCAAAUUAUUGAAGCCAUAGUACGGGUGGGUCGUUAUCCUCUAAACCGUAAUAUGGGAUCAUAUUCGAUGUAAGAAAACUAGCAUAUAACAAUGACCGACCUAUUAUUGCAAGCACUAUCAUGUAUCUGCAGGCUAGAUAUGGCAAUAUGUUUCCUUCAGUGCACCAUUGCACUCCUUUUACAAUGGACUUUCUUUUACAAUAUAUGUUCAUCACUUCAUCUACAUGGGAGAUUUUAUUUAGUCUUUUUUUUAUUAAACAUGAAACAACACAACAUCAAGACCUUGAUCCACAAUUCUUGUUGCAUGGUAUAUAUUUCACUCCGAUGAAAGUUGUGAAGUAACAUGCCUUUUUCCAAAAGAUUAUUUCCCGUCGCUUGUUCCAAACACACGACACAUCCUUCGGCCAUAAAACUACAACAACUACUACUAGGGAUAACCCGAGCAGUCGUGCUUGUUUUAUAGCUAUCAGUAGCGCUUGUACAAGCGCUACCAGUAAGGCGCUACAACUAACUGGUAGCGAUAGCGCUGGUUUUCUAGCGCUACUGCUAUACCUACUUAGCAGUAGCGCUCGGUAGGGAAAAGCACUACUGAUAAUAGUAAGUAGCAGUAGCGUUUCUCUUGAAAAGCGCUACUGCUAAAUUUUCCUGUAUUUUUGAAAAUGCAGCUUAUUGUCGCUAUAUUUGUAUAGGUUUUAUAUACAGUACUUUCAUCACAUGAUUUUAUGACCAUGAUUAGUUAUUAUAUAUAACAGUGGGUGAAAUGAACGUGGUGAUUCAAGUAGAGUCAACAUGUGGUGCAUGUUGAAAGUACUACUAAUCCAAACUUGAUCUAGUUUGGAUUUGUUGUAUUUUCGAUGUGCACCACAUGUUGCCUCCACUUGAAUCUAAUCCAUGCUCAUUUCACCCACUGAUAUACUCCCUCCAUUCCCUUAUACAAGGCCACAAACUCAUAUUACAGAUACCAAGAUAAAACUUAAUGACUCCUUUGCAAGUCCACUUUUCUUUUCGUUAUCCGGGAUUAUUAAUACACCACAAGCAUGCAACGAAUGAAUGGGAAGGAACUGUCUGAGUGUCAUUAUGACUACAUGCAUGUAAGUAUUAAAAAGUUGCUAGUACGAAGAAACAUCAUUAAUUUUUGCGUCGAUUACUGUUGGUAGCCUUGUAUUGAUGCAAAAUGUAUUUUUGAUAGUGGCCUUGUAUAAGGGAAUGGAGGGAGUAUAUAAUAACUCAUCAUGCUCAUAUACAACUUAGCAUCAUACAUCAUCAUAAUAAUAAAUAACUCAUCAUUGGUAUCAUAAUAACAAGUCCUACUCAUCAUCAUCAUACAACUUCUACUCGUUAUCAUAAUAACAAGUCAUACUCAUCAUCAUCCUAGUCAUCUAACCAACUCUACUUAAUUGUUCUUAGCACAUGAUCAUGAGUAUUAGCUAGGACCUAACUACCCUAUCUAAGGUAAAAUAGCAUAAAACAAGAUAGGCCCUAAAUCUCCACUAUGGAGAAUGGAGAUUAUCCUGUCUCCAGUUCUUGCGUUUCGCAUAAUGUUGCUUCCAUGUAGCUCCCUAUGAUUUUCUAUACAUUUUUUCCAAUCUUUGAUUGUCAUGUCUUCAUCGAUAUUAGAAAUCCGGUAUGAACAGCAGUGAAGCCUAGGAUGACCUGACCGUAAGCUCAUAGCAUCAAGGCGACCUUUCGGAAGCAUCAGAUCAGCACACAAUCCUUCGGGAUUUUCUGUUGAAAAACAUAGUAAUAACUCCGUAGUUAGCAAUGUAGUUUAGUUUUAGAAGAAUUUAUGCAAAGGAUGCAUGGAUGUCGUAAUAGUAAAAAAAUCUUACCAUGCAAUCUCCAUGGAUGUUACCGUAGUUCAACACGUGCACUAGUGGCACGUAUUGACCAUAAUGUGCAGGAGUUUGAUAAUUGAUAUUGUAAUUCUCAACAUCAUUAAUAAAUGAGAUAAGAUGAUCUUUCUCCUAAUAAGUUAAUUCUGCACCAUCAGUAUAGUAGGUUCUGUCUACCAUCUUGCGUACAUUUUUUGAAGAAUGAAAAUAAGCCGUUAACAGAAAUAAGUUGUCAACUAUUUUGAAACAAACAAUAUAAAUUACUUAAUAAAUAUGUUUGAGAAACUCACAUAAAGGUAGAAGUGGAAGCGUAUCAACAAGGACCCAAAUGCCAUCAUCAUGAUAACCAAGAUCGAAGGUGACAUACAUACCCUCCUGAAAAUCAUAUGCCUUGCACAGUGCUUCCGAAUUCGAGCAACCAAAAUGGGCUACGCUCUCCGAAUUGUAUAAGUUUACAGAAAAAAUCAUAACCAUGAUUGGUCUUGAGAUGAAUUAUUUCUGUCUCCAUAUUUUCAUGAUCUUCGAAAUCCAGAUGCUCCAAGACAUAGCUUUUUGCAUCGCAUGGGAUAAGCUAGUCGAAUUUUGAUCAUGUGUACGAAAAUUAUUUAUAUUUUUUUUAAAAUUAUUUGUGUAAAUAAAACAAAUAUUAAUCAUGUGUGCCUCCACGAGUGUGCAUCUUGUGGAGCAAAGAAAACGUUUUUUCUCCUUUGUCGCGGAAGCAAAUAUGUGCCUCUACGAGAAGCGAAUCUCGUGGAAGACAAAGGAACACAUCAUUUUUCCUUUUUCGAGAGGCACAACUGUGCCUCUCGCGAAAGCAAACAUAUGCCUCCAUGAGAAGCAAAUUCGUGCUUCUUGAGGAAGCAAAAGAAAAUGUGUUUUCCUGUUUUUGAGAGGCACAACUCUGACUCUUGCUGAAGAAAAACUGUGCAUCCAUGAGAAGCAAAUCUAUGCUUCUCGUGGAAGCAAAAAAACUCAUAUUUUCUCCUUUUUAGAGAAGCACUGUUCUGCCUCCCAUGGAAGCAAUUUGUGCCUCCAUUGAGAAAAACUGUGCUUCUUUUCACGCAAUAGUUUUUUUUCAAUUUUUCUCUCUCCAAAACCUAGGGCUAGCCAGGCGAAUACCAAAAACACGAAAAAACCAUCUAAAACUCAAAAAUGCGUACAUGGAAAAAAUUUCUAAGGGAGUGCCUGAUGUCUACUACACAACGUUUCUUCUUAUAGACUCUGUUGGGACUUCGAGUGCACAGUUUUGUAUGACAUCCGCACAUUUUCCUCAGGUGGAUGACCUAAUAUUUAUCAAUUUGUGGGAGGUGUAGGAUCAAGAUGAUUUCUCUCAAACAAACCUGGAAUCAAAUACAAGAAAUCUCUUGGCCCCAACACACCCAAUACAAUGGUAAAUUAUAUAGGUGCACUAAUUUGGCGAAGAGAUGGCGAUACAAGUGUAGUAUGGAUAGUAGCUAUAGGCUUUUGUAAUCUGAAAUAAUAAAAACAAUAAGGUAGCAAGUAACAAAAGCGUGCACAAACGGUAUUGCAAUGCUUAGAAACAAGGCCUAGGGUUCAUAAUUUCAUUAGUGCGAUCUCUCAAUAGUGCUAACAUAAUUGAAUCCCAUAAUACUCCCUCAACGUAUGACAAUAUAUUUUUAUGUGAAAGCUCUCUUCCCUAUACUAAUCAUUCAUGAAUUGCUUGUAUGACCAAUAUUAUUAUUGGCAAACUUUAAUAGAUUUUACUUUAUAAACCCAAUAUAAAAUAUUCCUAAGCAUAUGGAACAUAUAUAAUUUGGGGCUUAUGAUAUUCAAUUCAUUCAACAAUUUACUCUUAGGAUAUAAGUGAAGCACAAGAGUGAAUGACAAACUACUCCAAAAGAUUUGAGUGAAGAUCAAUGAGUAGUCAAACAAUUAAUUAGCUAUGAGUAGUCAAAAUUUUAGAACCAAGUAUUUUAUUCAAACAACAAACAAAAUGAAAAGACGCUCCGAGCAGAAUACAUAUCAUGUGAUGAAUAAAAAUAUAGUUCUAAGUGGGGUUACCCAUAAUGUUGAAGACAAAAAGAGGGGAUGCCUUCCGGGGCAUCCUGAAGCUUACAUGCUUGAGUCUUCCUCGAAUAUUACCCAAGCUUAGGGUCUUGCUGCUUGUUAUUAUCCUCAUGUUAUAUCUCACCCAAAACUUGAAAACUUCAAUCACACAAAACUUAACGAAAGUUCGUGAGAUGCAUUAAUAUAAUAAAACAAAUCAUUCACUUGGGUGACGUCAAGACAAGAUUCAUACUUGUUUCCAUAGAAUGCCUAGUGUACUCUAUAAUUUAUAUUGACCAAUAUAAGCCAUAGAAAGUAUAAAACAAGCAAACUAUACAUUGAAAAUAGAACCAGUCAAAAACAGAACAGUCUCUAAUGAUAUGAACAAAAACCAUACUUCUGAAACACUAAAAAUUCUUACAAAAUAGGAAAAUGUAGGAAAUUUGUAUAUUAACACUGUUUAAAAAAUUCAGAUAAAAAGCAUGUUCCAGUGAAUUAUAUAAAUUCCUAGACUUAGCACAAAAGUUUCUGUUUUGCAUAGAAUCAAGUCAACUAUCAUCCGCACUAUCCCAAAGGCUUUACUAGGCACUUUAUUGAAACAAUAGCUAUAAACAUAACUACUACACUAGCUUAAUCAUGUGAACACAGAUAAAAAGUAGGUAGAAAUGUUGGGUUGCCUCCCAACAAGCGCUUUUGUUUAAUGCUUUUUUAGCUAGGCAUGAUGAUUUCAAUGACGCUCUCAUAAAAGUAAAGAACCGAAACAUAACGGGAGCAUCAUGAAGCAUAUGACUAGCACAUUUAAGCCUAACCCACUUUGUAUGCAUAGGGAUUUUGGGAGUAAAAACAAAUUAUGGGAGGAAGAAUCAACUAGCAUAGGAAGGCAAAACAAGUAUGCCUUCAAAACUUUGAACACAUAGAGAGGAAACUUGAUAUUAUUUAGAUAUGUAAAAGCAAAUGUUUUCUCUCUCAUAAUAAUUUUUAGUAGCAUCAUGAACAAAUUCAACAAUAUAACUAUCAUACCAAGCAUUUUUUUUAUAAUCCAUAAGCAUAUAAAUUUUAUUACUCUCCACAUAAGCAAAUUUUUUCUCAUUCAUAAUAGUGGAACCAAACUCAACAAAAUGACUAUCAUAUGAAACAUGUUUGACAUAACCCUAUUGAACAUUAAAAUCAUGAUGACAAUUUUCAUGGUUGUUGUUACUUUUUAUAGCAUACAUGUCAUCACCGUAAUCAUCAUAGAUAGUAACUUUGUUUCAUAAUCAAUUGAAAUCUCUUCCAAAAUAGUGGAAUCAUCAUUAAAUAAAGUCACGACCUCUCCAAAUCCACUUUUAGCAUUAUUCCUUGAACACCCUCCAAAAUAGUUGGAUCAUUACUACCUAGAGUUGACACUCUUACAAACCCACCUUCAUCAUUGUAAUCAUCCUAAAUAGGAGGCAUGCAAUCAUCAUAAUAAAUUUUCUCAUCAAAAAAGGGGGCUAAAAAGGUCAUCUUCAUCAAACAUAGCAUCCCCAACCUUAUGGCUUUGCAUAUCAUUAGCAUCAUGGGUAUUAAAAGAAUACAUACUAAUAUAAUUGCAACCAUGCUUAUCAUCCAAAUAUUUUAUGCCAAACAUUUUUGAAUUCUUCUUCUAACAUUUUGGCACAAUUUUCGGAACCAUCUUUUUCAAGAAAGACAUCAUAAAGAUAAAAAACUUGAUGCAACUUCAAUUCCAUUUUUUGUAGUUUUCUUUUAUAAACCAAACUAGUGAAAAUCGAGAAACUAAAAGAUUCGAUUGGAAGAUCUAAAGAUAUAACUUCAAGCACUCACCUCCGCGGCAACAUCGCCCAAAAAGAACUUGAUGUCUACUACACAACUUUUCUUCUUGUAGACUCUGUUGGGCCUCCAAGCACAGAGUUCUGUAGGACAAAAGAAAAUUUUCCUCAAGUAGAUAACCUAAGGUUUAUCAAUCCGAGGAAGGUGUAGGACGAAGAUUGUCUCUCUCAAACAACCCUUCAAUCAAAUACAAGAAAUCUCUUACGUCCCCAACACACCCAAUACAAUGGUAAAUUGUAUAGGUGGACUAGUUUGGCAAAGAGAUGGUGAUACAAGUGAAGUACGGAUAGUAAAUAUAGGUUUUCGUAAUCUGGAAUAAUAAAAACAGCAAGGUAGCAAGUAACAAAAGUGAGCACAAACGGUAUUGCAAUGCUUAGAAACAAGGCCUAGGUUUCAUGUAUACCUUCACUGGUGCAAUCUCUCAACAGUGCUAACAUAAUUGAAUCACAUAACAAUCCCUCAACGUACUACAAAUAAUCACUCCAAAGUUCUUAAAGAUAGCAGAGAACAUAAGAUGAAAUUGUUGUAGGUAGCAAACCACCUCAAAUUUAUCUUUCGGAUCAAUCAAUUGAGCCAUCCCUAUAAGUGUCACAAAUAGCCCUAGAGUUCGUACUAAAAUAACAGCAAGUGAUAUGUAUCCAUCAACUCUAAUGUCACCUAGAUACUCCAGUGUCACCACAAGUAUCCAAUGUCCCUAGAUACAUCAAGAUCGUGCCAAAUAAAGAACACGAGAGAGAGAGAGAGAUGAUACGUCUCCGUCGUAUCUACUUUUCCAAACACUUUUGCCCUUGUUUUGGACUCUAAGUUGCAUGAUUUGAAUGGAACUAACCUGGACUGACAUUGUUUUCAGCAGAAUUGCCAUGGUGUUAUUUAUGUGGAGAAACAAAAGUUCUCGGAAUGACCUGAAACUCCACGGAACUUAUUUCUGGAAAAUAUUAAAAAUAUUGGCGAAAGAAUCAAGGCCAGGGGCCCACCACCUGUCCACGAGGGUGGGGGGCGCGCCCGCCCCCCUGGGCGCGCCCCCCUGCCUAAUGGGUGUUUGGGUAUCGUAGCAUAAUUUUAAAAUUUUCCUAUGCUCACCAAGAUGCAUCUAUGGAGUAUACUAGCAACGAGGGGAAGGGAGUGCAUCUACAUACCCUUGUAGAUCGCGAGCGGAAGCGUUCCAAUGAACGUGGAUGACGGAGUCGUACUCACCGUGAUCCAAAUCACCGAUGACCGAGUGCCGAACGGACGCCACCUCCGCGUUCAACACACGUACGGUGCAGCGACGUCUCCUCCUUCUUGAUCCAGCAAGGGGGAAGGAGAGGUUGAUGGAGAUCCAACAGCACGACGGCGUGGUGGUGGAUGUAGCGGGUCUCCGGCAGGGCUUCGCCGAGCUUCUGCGAGAGAAAGAGAGGUGUUGCAGGGGAGGAGGGAGGCGCCCAAGGCUGUAGGUUGCUGCCCUCCCUCCCCCCCUUUAUAUAGGCCCCCUGGGGGGCGCUGGCCCUAGAGAUGGGAUCUCAUGGGGGGGGCGGCCAAAAGGGGGGGAAGGGGUUGCCUUGCCCCCCAAGGCAAGGGGGAAGCCCCCCACCCUAGGGUUCCCAACCCUAGGCGCAUGGGGGGAGGCCCAAGGGGGGCGCCCCAGCCCACUAAGGGCUGGUUCCCUUCCACUUUCAGCCCACGGGGCCCUCCGGGAUAGGUGGCCCCACCCGGUGGACCCUCAGAACCCUUCCGGUGGUCCCGGUACAAUACCGGUAACCCCCGAAACUUUCCCGGUGGCCGAAACUUGACUUCCUAUAUAUAAUUCUUCACCUCCGGACCAUUCCGGAACCUCUCGUGACGUCCGGGAUCUCAUCCGGGACUCCGAACAAAUUUCGGGUUUCCGCAUACACAUAUCUCUACAACCCUAGCGUCACUGAACCUUAAGUGUGUAGACCCUACGGGUUUGGGAGACAUGCAGACAUGACCGAGACGCCUCUCCGUUCAAUAACCAACAGCGGGAUCUGGAUACCCAUGUUGGCUCCCACAUGUUCCACGAUGAUCUCAUCAGAUGAGCCACGGUGUCCAGGAUUCAAUCAAUCCCGUAUUCAAUUCCCUUUGUCAAUCGGUAUGUUACUUGCCCGAGAUUCGAUCGUCGGUAUCCCAAUACCUUGUUCAAUCUCGUUACCAGCAAGUCUCUUCACUCGUACCGCAAUGCAUGAUCCUGUAACUAACGCCUUAGUCACAUAGAGCUCAUUAUGAUGAUGCAUUACCGAGUGGGCCCAGAGAUACCUCUCCGUCACAUGGAGUGACAAAUCCCAGUCUCGAUCCGUGCCAACCCAACAGACACUUUCGGAGAUACCCGUAGUGCACCUUUAUAGUCACCCAGUUACGUUGUGACGUUUGGCACACCCAAAGCACUCCUACGGUAUCCGGGAGUUGCACAGUCUCAUGGUCUAAGGAAAAGAUACUUGACAUUGGAAAAGCUCUAGCAAACGAAACUACACGAUCUUUUAUGCUAUGCUUAUGAUUGGGUCUUGUCCAUCACAUCAUUCUCCAAAUGAUGUGAUCCCGUUAUCAAUGACAUCCAAUGUCCAUAGUCAGGAAACCAUGACUAUCUGUUGAUCAACGAGCUAGUCAACUAGAGGCUUACUAGGGACACGUUGUGGUCUAUGCAUUCACACAUGUAUUACGAUUUCCGGACAAUACAAUUAUAGCAUGAACAAUAGACAAUUAUCAUGAACGAAGAAAUAUAAUAAUAACCAUUUAUUAUUGCCUCUAGGGAAUAUUUCCAACAGUCUCCCACUUGCACUAGAGUCAAUAAUCUAGUUACAUUGUGAUGAAUCGACCCUAGGGAGAGGUUUAGUCAACGGAUCUGCUACAUUCAGGUCCGUAUGUACUUUACAAAUAUCUAUGUCUCCAUUUUGAACACUUUCACGAAUGGAGUUGAAGCGACGUUUGAUAUGCCUGGUCUUCCUGUGAAACCUGGGCUCCUUCGCAAGGGCAAUAGCUCCAGUGUUGUCACAGAAGAGAGUCAUCGGGCCCGACGCAUUGGGAAUCACCCCUAGGUCGGUAAUGAACUCCUUCAUCCAGACUGCUUCCUGUGCUGCCUCCGAGGCUGCCAUGUACUCCGCUUCACAUGUAGAUCCCGCCACGACGCUUUGCUUGCAACUGCACCAGCUUACUGCUCCUCCAUUCAAAAUAUACACGUAUCCGGUUUGUGACUUCGAGUCAUCCAGAUCUGUGUCAAAGCUAGCAUCGACGUAACCCUUUACGACGAGCUCUUCGUCACCUCCAUAAAUGAGAAACAUAUCCUUAGUCCUCUUCAGGUACUUCAGGAUAUUCUUGACCGCUGUCCAGUGUUCCAUGCCGGGAUUACUUUGGUACCUUCCUACCAAACUUACGGCAAGGUUUACAUCAGGUCUAGUACAGAGCAUGGCAUAAAUAAUAGACCCUAUGGCCGAGGCAUAGGGGAUGACACUCAUCUUUUCUAUAUCUUCUGCCGUGGUCGGGCAUUGAGCCGUGCUCAACUGCACACCUUGCAACACAGGCAAGAACCCCUUCUUGGACUGAUCCAUACUGAACCUCUUCAAUAUCUUGUCAAGGUAUGUACUCUGUGAAAGACCAAUGAGGCGUCUUUAUCUAUCUCUAUAGAUCUUGAUGCCUAAUAUAUAAGCAGCUUCUCCAAGGUCCUUCAUUGAAAAACACUUAUUCAAAUAGGCCUUUAUACUUUCCAAGAAUUCUAUAUCAUUUCCCAUCAAUAGUAUGUCAUCCACAUAUAAUAUGAGAAAUGCUACAGAGCUCCCACUCACUUUCUUGUAAACACAGGCUUCUCCAUAAGUCUGUGUAAACCCAAACGCUUUGAUCAUCUCAUCAAAGCGAAUGUUCCAACUCCGAGAUGCUUGCACCAGCCCAUAGAUUGAGCGCUGGAGCUUGCAUACUUUGUUAGCAUUCUUAGGAUCGACAAAACCUUCCGGCUGCAUCAUAUACAACUCUUCCUUAAGGAAGCCAUUAAGGAAUGCCGUUUUGACGUCCAUCUGCCAUAUCUCAUAAUCACAGCAUGCGGCAAUUGCUAACAUGAUUCGGACGGACUUCAGCUUCGCUACGGGUGAGGAAGUCUCAUCGUAGUCAACCCCUUGAACUUGUCGAUAACCCUUAGCGACAAGUCGAGCUUUGUAGAUGUUCACAUUACCAUCUGCGUCCGUCUUCUUCUUAAAGAUCCAUUUGUUUUCUAUGGCUCGCGGCUCAUCGGGCAAGUCAGUCAAAGUCCAUACUUUGUUUUCAUACAUGGAUUCUUUCUCGGAUUUCAUGGCUUCUAGCCAUUUGUCGGAAUCCGGGCCCGCCAUCGCUUCUUCAUAGUUCGAAGGUUCACCGUUGUCUAACAACAUGAUUUCCAGGACAGGGUUGCCGUACCACUCUGGUGCGGAACGUGUCCUUGUGGACCUAUGAAGUUCAGUAACUUGAUCCGAAGCUUCAUGAUCAUCAUCAUUAACUUCCUCCCCAGUCGGUGUAGGCACCACAGGAACAUUUUCCCGCGCUGCGCUACUUUCCGGUUCGGAAGGGGUGACUAUCACCUCAUCAAGUUCCACUUUCCUCCCACUCAAUUCUUUCGAGAGAAACUCCUUCUCCAGAAAGGACCCGUUCUUGGCAACGAAGAUCUUGCCUUCGGAUCUGAGGUGGAAGGUAUACCCAAUAGUUUCCUUAGGGUAUCCUAUGAAGACGCAUUUUUCCGACUUGGGUUCGAGCUUUUCAGGUUGAAGUUUCUUCACAUAAGCAUCACAUCCCCAAACUUUUAGAAACGACAGCUUAGGUUUCUUCCCAAACCAUAAUUCAUACGGUGUCGUCUCAACGGAUUUUGACGGAGCCCUAUUUAAAGUGAAUGCGGCAGUCUCUAAAGCAUAGCCCCAAAAUGAGAGCGGUAAAUUGGUAAGAGACAUCAUAGAUCGCACCAUAUCCAAUAGAGUGCGAUUACGACGUUCGGACACACCAUUUCUCUGAGGUGUUCCAGGCGGCGUGAGUUGUGAAACUAUUCCACAUUUCCUUAAGUGUGCACCAAACUCGUGACUUAAAUAUUCUCCACCAUGAUCUGAUCGUAAGAAUUUUAUUCUCCUGUCACGUUGAUUCUCAACCUCACUCUGAAAUUCCUUGAACUUUUCAAAGGUUUCCGACUUGUGUUUCAUUAGGUAGAUAUACCCAUAUCUACUUAAAUCAUCAGUGAGAGUGAGAACAUAACGAUAUCCUCCGCGAGCCUCAACACUCAUUGGACCACACACAUCGGUAUGUAUGAUUUCCAAUAAGUUGGUUGCUCGCUCCAUUGUUCCGGAGAACGGAGUCUUGGUCAUCUUACCCAUGAGGCAUGGUUCGCACGUGUCAAAUGAUUCGUAAUCAAGAGACUCCAAAAGUCCAUCUGCAUGGAGCUUCUUCAUGCGCUUGACACCAAUGUGACCAAGGCGGUAGUGCCACAAGUAUGUGGGACUAUCGUUAUCAACUUUACAUCUUUUGGUAUUCACACUAUGAACAUGUGUAACAUCACGUUCGAGAUUCAUCAAAAAUAAACCAUUGACCAGCGGGGCAUGACCAUAAAACAUAUCUCUCAAAUAAAUAGAACAACCAUUAUUCUCGGAUUUAAAUGAGUAGCCAUCUCGAAUUAAACGAGAUCCUGAUACAAUGUUCAUGCUCAAAGCUGGCACUAAAUAACAAUUAUUGAGGUUUAAAACUAAUCCCGUGGGUAGAUGCAGAGGUAGCGUGCCGACGGCGAUCACAUCGACCUUGGAACCAUUCCCGACGCGCAUCGUCACCUCGUCCUUCGCCAGUCUCCGUUUAUUCCGUAGUUCCUGUUUUGAGUUACAAAUAUGAGCAACCGCACCGGUAUCAAAUACCCAGGAGCUACUACGAGUACUGGUAAGGUACACAUCAAUAACUUGUAUAUCACAUAUACCUUUGGUGUUGCCGGCCUUCUUCUUGUCCGCUAAGUAUUUGGGGCAGUUCCGCUUCCAGUGACCACUUCCCUUGCAAUAAAAGCACUCAGUCUCGGGCUUGGGUCCAUUCUUUGACUUCUUCCCAGUAACUGGUUUACCGGGCGCGGCAACUCCCUUGCCGUCCUUCUUGAAGUUCUUCUUACCCUUGCUCUUCUUGAACUUAGUGGUUUUAUUCACCAUCAACACUUGAUGUUCUUUUCUGAUCUCUACCUCAGCUGAUUUCAGCAUUGAAUAUACCUCAGGAAUGGUCUUUUCCAUCCCCUGCAUAUUGUAGUUCAUCACAAAGCUCUUGAAGCUUGGUGGAAGCGACUGAAGGAUUCUGUCAAUGACCGCGUCAUCCGGGAGAUUGACUCCCAGCUGAGACAAGCGGUUAUGCAACCCAGACAUUCUGAGUAUGUGCUCACUAACAGAACUGUUCUCCUCCAUUUUACAGCUGAAGAAUUUGUCGAAGACAUCAUAUCUCUCGACCCGGGCAUGAGCUUGGAAAACCAAUUUCAGCUCCUCGAACAUCUCAUAUGCUCCAUGUUUCUCAAAACGCUUUUGGAGACCCGGUUCUAGGCUGUAAAGCAUGCCGCACUGAACGAGGGAGUAAUCAUCAGCACGCUGCUGCCAAGCGUUCAUAACGUCUUGGUUCUCAGGGAUUGGUGCAUCACCUAGCGGUACUUCUAAGACAUAAUCUUUCUUGGCUACUAUGAGGAUGAGCCUCAGGUUCCGGACCCAGUCCGUAUAGUUGCUGCCAUCAUCUUUCAGCUUGGUUUUCUCUAGGAACGCGUUGAAAUUGAGGACAACGUUGGCCAUUUGAUCUACAAGACAUAGUGUAAAGAUUUUAGACUAAGUUCAUGAUAAUUGAGUUCAUCUAAUCAAAUUAUUUAAUGAACUCCCACUCAGAUAGACAUCCCUCUCGUCAUCUAAGUGAAACAUGAUCCGAGUUUAACUAGGCCGUGUCCGAUCAUCACGUGAGACGGACUAGUCAAGAUCGGUGAACAUCUCCAUGUUGAUCGUAUCUUCUAUACGACUCAUGCUCGACCUUUCGGUCCUCCGUGUUCCGAGGCCAUGUCUGUACAUGCUAGGCUCGUCAAGACAACCUAAGUGUAUUGCGUGUGUUCCGAGGCCAUGCCUGUACAUGCUAGGCUCGUCAACACCCGUUGUAUUCGAACGUUAGAAUCUAUCACACCCGAUCAUCACGUGGUGCUUCGAAACAACGAACCUUCGCAACGGUGCACAGUUAGGGUGAACACUUUCUUGAAAUUAUUAUAAGGGAUCAUCUUACUUACUACCGUCGUUCUAAGCAAAUAAGAUGCAAAAACAUGAUAAACAUCACAUGCAAUCAAAUAGUGACAUGAUAUGGCCAAUAUCAUUAUGCUCCUUUGAUCUCCAUCUUCGGGGCACCAUGAUCAUCUUCGUCACCGGCAUGACACCAUGAUCUCCAUCAUCAUGAUCUCCAUCAUUGUGUCUUCAUGAAGUCGUCACGCCAACGAUUACUUCUACUUCUAUGGCUAACGCGUUUAGCAACAAAGUAAAGUAAUUUACAUGGCGUUAUUCAAUGACACGCAGGUCAUGCAAAAUAAUAAAGACAACUCCUAUGGCUCCUGCCGGUUGUCAUACUCAUCGACAUGCAAGUCGUGAUCCCUAUUACAAGAAUAUGAUCAAUCUCAUACAUCACAUAUAUCAUUCAUCACAUCUUCUGGCCAUAUCACAUCACAUAGCACUUGCUGCAAAAACAAGUUAGACGUCCUCUAAUUGUUGUUGCAAGUUUUUACGUGGUUCGUAGGUUUCUAGCAAGAACGUUUUCUUACCUACAUAUGACCACAACGUGAUUUGCCAAUUUCUAUUUACCCUUCAUAAGGACCCUUUUCAUCGAAUCCGUUCCGACUAAAGUAGGAGAGACAGACACCCGCUAGCCACCUUAUGCAACUAGUGCAUGUCAAUCGGUGGAACCUGUCUCACGUAAGCGUACGUGUAAGGUCGGUCCGGGCCGCUUCAUCCUACAAUGCCGCCCAAACAAGAAAUGACUAGUAGCGGCAAGAAGAAUUGGCAAACUCAACGCCCACAACUGCUUUGUGUUCUACUCGUGCAUAGUAACUACGCAUAGGCCUGGCUCUGAUACCACUGUUUGGGAAUCGUAGCAUAAUUUUAAAAUUUUCCUACACUCACCAAGAUGCAUCUAUGGAGUAUACUAGCAACGAGGGGAAGGGAGUGCAUCUACAUACCCUUGUAGAUCGCGAGCGGAAGCGUUCCAAUGAACAUGGAUGACGGAGUCGUACUCGCCGUGAUCCAAAUCACCGAUGACCGAGUGCCGAACGGACAGCACCUCCGCGUUCAACACACGUACGGUGCAGCGACGUCUCCUCCUUCUUGAUCCAGCAAGGGGGAAGGAGAGGUUGAUGGAGAUCCAACAACACGACGGCGUGGUGGUGGAUGUAGCGGGUCUCCGGCAGGGCUUCGUCGAGCUUCUGCGAGAGAGAGAGAGGUGUUGCAGGGGAGGAGGGAGGCGCCCAAGGCUGUAGGUUGCUGCCCUCCCUCCCCCCUUUAUAUAGGCCCCCUGGGGGGGGCACCGGCCCUAGAGAUGGGAUCUCAUGGGGGGGCGGCGGCCAAAAGGGGGGGAAGGGGUUGCCUUGCCCCCCAAGGCAAGGGGGAAGCCCCCCACCCUAGGGUUCCCAACCCUAGGCGCAUGGGGGGAGGCCCAAGGGGGGCGCCCCAGCCCACUAAGGGCUGGUUCCCUUCCACUUUCAGCCCACGGGGCCCUCCGGGAUAGGUGGCCCCACCCGGUGGACCCCCGGGACCCUUCCGGUGGUCCCGGUACAAUACCGGUAACCCCCGAAACUUUCCCGGUGGCCGAAACUUGACUUCCUAUAUAUAAUUCUUCACCUCCGGACCAUUCCGGAACCUCUCAUGACGUCCGGGAUCUCAUCCGGGACUCCGAACAACUUUCGGGUUUCCGCAUACACAUAUCUCUACAACCCAUGCGUCAUCGAACCUUAAGUGUGUAGACCCUACGGGUUCGGGAGACAUGCAGACAUGACCGAGACUUCUCUCCGGUCAAUAACCAAUAGCGGGAUCUGGAUAGCCAUGUUGGCUCCCACAUGUUCCACGAUGAUCUCUUCGGAUGAACCACGGUGUCGAGGAUUCAAUCAAUCCCGUAUACAAUUCCCUUUGUCAAUCGGUAUGUUACUUGCCCGAGAUUCGAUCGUCGGUAUCCCAAUACCUUGUUCAAUCUCGUUACCGGCAAGUCUCUUUACUCAUACCGCAAUGCAUGAUCCCAUAACUAACGCCUUAGUCACAUAGAGCUCAUUAUGAUGAUGCAUUACCGAGUGGGCCCAGAGAUACCUCUCCGUCACACGGAGUGACAAAUCCCAGUCUCGAUCCGUGCCAACCCAACAGACACUUUCGGAGAUACCCGUAGUGCACCUUUAUAGUCACCCAGUUACGUUGUGACGUUUGGCACACCCAAAGCACUCCUACGGUAUCCGGGAGUUGCACGAUCUCAUGGUCUAAGGAAAAGAUACUUGACAUUGGAAAAGCUCUAGCAAACGAAACGACACGAUCUUUUAUGCUAUGCUUAUGAUUGGGUCUUGUCCAUCACAUCAUUCUCCUAAUGAUGUGAUCCCCUUAUCAAUGACAUCCAAUGUCCAUAGUCAGGAAACCAUGACUAUCUGUUGAUCAACGAGCUAGUCAACUAGAGGCUUACUAGGGACACGUUGUGGUCUAUGCAUUCACACAUGUAUUACGAUUUCCGGACAAUACAAUUAUAGCAUGAACAAUAGACAAUUAUCAUGAACGAAGAAAUAUAAUAAUAACCAUUUAUUAUUGCCUCUAGGGCAUAUUUUCAACAAUGGGCCCCCUGGAGCUCCACCGACCUCAACUCCAACUCCAUAUAUUCGUGUUCGGGGAGAAAAAAAAUCAGGGAGAAGGAUUCAUCGCAUUUUACGAUAGGGAGCCGCCACCAAGCCCUAAAACCUCUCGGGAGGGCUGAUCUGGAGUCCGUUCGGGGCUCCGGAGAGGGGAAACCGUCGCCAUCGUCAUCAUCAACUAUCCUCCAUCACCAAUUUCAUGACGCUCACCGCCGUGCGUGAGUAAUUCCAUCGUACGCUUGCUGGAUGGUGAUGGGUUGGAUGAGAGUUAUCAUGUAAUCGAAUUAGUUUUGUUAGGGUUUGAUCCCUAGUAUCCACUAUGUUCUGAGAUUGAUGUUGCUAUGACUUUACUAUGCUUAAUGCUUGUCACUAGGGCCCGAGUGCCAUGAUUUUAGAUCUGAACCUAUUAUGUUUUCAUGAAUAUAUGUGAGUUCUUGAUCCUAUCUUGCAAGUCUAUAGUCACCUACUAUGUGUUAUGAUCCGGCAACCCCGAAGUGACAAUAAUCGGGACCACUCCCGGUGAUGACCAUAGUUUGAGGAGUUCAUGUAUUCACUAUGUGUUAAUGCUUUGGUCUGGUACUCUAUUAAAAGGAGGCCUUAAUAUCCCUUAGUUUCCAUUAGGACCCCGCUGCCACGGGAGGGUAGGACAAAAGAUGUAAUGCAAGUUCUUUUUCAUAAGCACGUAUGACUAUAUUUGGAAUACAUGCCAACAUUACAUUGAUGAAUUGGAGCUAGUUCUAUGUCACCCUAUAUUAUGACUGUUACAUGAUGAACCGCAUCCGGCAUAAUUUUCCAUCACCAAUCCAAUGCCUACGAGCUUUUCACAUAUUGUUCUUCGCUUAUUUACUUUUCCGUUACUACUAUUACAUUCACUACAAAACCCAGAAAUAUUACUUUUGCUACCGUUACCGUUACUUCCAUACUACUUUGCUACUAAACACUUUGCUGCAGUACUAAGUUAUCCAGGUGUGGUUGAAUUGACAACUCAACUCCUAAUACUUGAGAAUAUUCUUUGGCUCCCCUUGUGUCGAAUCAAUAAAUUUGGGUUGAAUACUCUACCCUCGAAAACUGUUGUGAUCCCCUAUACUUGUGGGUUAUCAAGAGAGAGAUCAAACACAUAGCUACUGGUGCAUACCCCUCAUGCCCGAUAGAAAAUUAGGUUGUAUGAAUCAUUUGUAGAUUAUUCAUUAACGACCUUGGACCAUACAAACUGGCCAAAUUUCGUCGCUAUAUAAUUUGUUAUAUGUUGUUGUUAAAAAUCAAUAAUAAAAUUGUAUAUAUUGAACUGACUUAGGAUCUUUUUGUAUAAUUUAUGUCACUAUGCAUGCUGGCAAGAAACCUACAAAUAUUAUAAAGUUGGCUAAUAUAAGUAAAGUCUCACAUAUAUAGAAAAAUAAAUCACUCUUAGUUCUUUUUGGGAUUAUUAUAUGUUGUACUAUUAUUGUAUGAACAAAUAAAGGACAAAAAAUAGAUUGUUUAGUUGUAUUAAUUAUUAAAAACUCGAAAGCAUGGAAGAUUGCUCCCUUUGAUCACUUGGGGUUUAGCUAUAGCUACCUCAUCCUAACCCAUGCCGUGUCUAGAUCAUUGUACCAACUUGUGCUUUUUAGAACAUUUUUAUGCAAAAUGGAAGUGCUGCUUUUCCAGAACAUUUUGAUAUCUUAUUUACAUUUUUCUGAAUUCAUAUGAAUUUGCAAUGAAUUUUCAAAGUGAUGUUCAAAUGCUCAAAGGGCAUUCGGGAGACCUAAAAUUCUUUUUAGAGGCAAAACUGAGCAGAGUCGAAAACUAGGGGCAAAACUAAAGGAUUGGAACCAACUAAGGGAAAUAAAGGAAUUGUCCCGCCAAUGGUUUUCUAAGUCUCGAUCUGGUCGGAGAUUAAACCAAGAUCGAGUAUCCAUAUUUAAGUGGCCUUAUUGACAUGGAUUUUUUUUGCUUGCAGCUUUAUUAUCCAUUCUCACAUGCUUGUCUCAAAAUUACGAAACCUUAAACAAAUAUAUCAAAGUUAUUAAUUAUGUAAGUAGUGUAACUUUAUCAGGUGUAGGGAAAAAUUAGUUCCUAAUCAGAGCUCAUAGAUUAAGCAAAAAAUUUGUAUGCCAUGCUAAUACGAUAAUUCAAAUGAUGCACGAAAAAAUACACGCAUGGAUAUUAGUUUAAAUAAAUACAAACGUGCUAUUUCCAUGCAAUAAAUACAUGCUACUACAAAUGCAUCGUGAGACCGUGGGCCAUGAUUUUCUUUACAAGGACAAAGACAAUAUGGAUUUGACAAUCAUAUGGAUCUGCAAUCACAAAUUAGUUAUGAUGCAGGCUCAAGUAUAAUAAAAAUACUCAUUGUGAACAAUGAAAAAAACAAAAAGAUAAUAUCCAAAACAUCUUAUAAUGAAAUGUACCUAAGGGUUAGAUGACAACUCACUCUUAUGAGACGUUGUGUUUGGAGAUCAAUCAUACACUAUACCAACACAAUUGCAUGUUUAGUGAUUAGCCAGUAGAAAGGUAAGUUUGUAGAACUAUAUACAUAACCUAUAUGUCCAUUUAUAGUAUUAGCCAACAGAAAGAAGUCAUGAAUUUCCCUUUAUAUUCUUUAGUGAUAUGUACAUGACAAUAACUGUCUCACAUGAAAACCAUAGGGCCAUACAAUGCAUCCUUGUUUGACUACGAUGGUAACGGAUAAUAGAUACUACAAUUAUUGCGAAAGUUUUGUAUAUCCCAUAACGGAAGAUCUGACACCUCAUAACAACCCAUCCAUCUCAUUCACGGGCCAGAUGACGUCACUGGUUGAUAUCGACGCCCCUAUGGCAAUUAUCGUUGCCUCAACAUGCAAGUGCCUUCUUCCAUGGUACGAUUUCAUUGUUAGAAUCUCUAACCUUGACGAGGCAUACAUUUUCGUAGUUGAACACCUCGUGCACUCUCCAAGCCAUGGUGAACAACCAACUAAAGGAGGUUGCAGCGGGUACUAUCAACAGAAAUUGAUGCAUAACAUUGUGUUGCCAACAUACCUAACUAGGGUGGAAGUGGGUAUGGUAUUUCCUAGUUGCAAAGAGGUGGACCAUAAUGAAAAACCUCAAGGCGCAGAUGACGAAACACACUAUACCCUCAUCGAGUGCCCGAGUUGGACCCUUAGGUGGCCUAAGUGACGAAUACAUUUGGGGACGCACUCCCCCAGCUAGCAAACACGCUCACCGCUGACACUUUAUACGAAUGUCCCUACACUGGGACCAUCUACUUUGGGUCCUCGCCGAGCUGAAGGUCCUUAGGACAUAGUGGUGGCUAAUGAUGAGCGCGCUGACAAAGAUGAGCCGCCACCCGACACAGUACGAGCAUGGGGAGGAGGAUGUUAAUAUGUAUUUUAACAAUGAAUAUGAUGAUGGCAUGACUUUUGCGGUUAACCAUAAUGUUGUUGAGAGUUUGCUUAAUAUGCCGCUAGUGGACGACACUCAGAAUGAUCAAUGUCCCUCAAAGCGAAUGUCAUGACUCCGAUCACAAUGAAUGGGUCAAUUUGAGACACUCUGGGAGCCCCCAGUUAUUGUUGUACCCAGAAGUGGGAGGAAGAAGAGACAUAAAAAUUUUGAUUACACAAGGCACGGGCAUUGCUGGCAGAGAGAAAUUGGUUUGAAAGUAGAUUGAGGAUCAUCCUUCUAUGUUCGAGGGGCUCAUUUUCCGGUGAACCCAUGGUACCCAGUAAUAUACACGAUCCAUGUUAUUCGACAUGAGGUUUCUUCAAGAUGACAUUCUCAACAAAGAGAGGGUGGACAAGGUCAUGUUUCUUAGCCAACCUAAAAAUCGCUCGAUUUACAUGGUGAAGGUUCCAUCCGGUGUCGGCUUCCUCGAAGAUUUGCCCGCAGACAAAUUCUAUAUUGAUUUCGGGUUACCAUGCCUUUUGUGUAGUAUCUACUUAAGUUUUAAAGAUGCAUGAUGAAAAUGACCUACUAUGUUUACUUGAUUAACCUUAGUAGUCAUUGACGUAUCGAAACAUGACAAUUCUGGCACGGCAACAACAUGAGAGCUUCUUCUCAUAAAUGCUACCAUGGCAGCAAAAAGAUUAACUAAAAAUGCAACCAUGCUAGCUUAUAUUAGCCCCAAGGCUGGAAAAUUCUACCAUGACAACUAAAUGAGCAAUUUGACUCAUAAAUGCUGCCAUGGUAGAGAAAUGAUCCUAUUUGACAAUAAUUGACCCCAUGGUAGCAAAUAUGAGGCCAAAGGCUCAAAAGUUUUUCCAUGAUAACUAAAAGAGCCAUUUAGCCUAGAAUCGUUGCGAUGGCAGGUAAAUGAGCCAUUUCGCUCAGACUUGCUACCAUGGAGUUAAAUGAGCCAUUUGGCUCCGACUUGCUGCCAUGUCAGCAAAAAAUGAAUGCAAAACUACCAUCACAACAAACAGCCCCAAGGUUAAAAAAUUCUGCCAGGCCUAGGUUUGCUAUGUGCUAAUCUUGCAAUUUGUUGCCAUGUGCUAUGUUUGGUAUCUAAAUUGCUAUAAAAGACGUUUUUGCUAUGUAUACAUGUUGAAAUAUAUUUGAUAUGAUGUAUGUUGCUAUUUGUUCUGUUCAUUACGACACGUCAAAGAUUCAUCGAUCAAAACUUCAACAGUUCUGAGGCGCCGCAGUGAAGCUAGACAACAAUGCGUGUGUUUUACAAAUUCAGCAUGUGAAAUGAAUGCAUGUAACUCAACGCUAUCAAUGUGUAUUAUGUAAAUUAAAGGUGUAUGCUGCAAUUUGGAUAUUUGAAUUUGUGUAAAAUGUGAUACAUAAAAUUAUCUAUUUAAUGCAUAACUUUUCUAUUGAUAUAUGAAUUAAAUGUGCAAACGCUACCACGGCAACAAAUACACCGUCGUGUCAUUUCUUUUCGCCCAAAACAAAGUACUAGUGGUGCGCGAAAAUACAAGCACAUCACCAAUACCCCAAAAUACUAGCGGUAUGCCAUUAGUAUUCUACAAUACUGUCAUGUGAAAGGCCCAGGCACGACACUGCAUGCAACUAGUAAGUUACUCGCUUGUCGCUAGUAAUCACUUACCAACGACACCAUACUAGUGGUGUGCUAGCCGAACACCGCUAGUAGGCACAUGCACAAGCUGCUAAUAAGGCGGCCAUGUAUGUUGGCGGUGGGAGCCACGAUGCUCAUGGGCGAAUCCAUCAACCCACCUCCAACGCCGAUACUCCACCGCGCCAUGCCGCUGAGACCCACCGUUUUUGAUGCAGUAGAUGCAACACCGCUCCACCUCUUGGCCCCUCCAGUCAGUACCUACUCCAAAAUAGUGCCCCCAGGAGAGAGAAUGACACAAGUCUUUGUCAUGAUCCGAUCAGGAAGACCCAGAUCUAGGGUUUCCCCCGGAGCAGAUGCCUCCUGGAGGAAGAAAGGCAUGCCAUCUGCAGGUUCCAACGAACCCAAAUGGUGCCCACCCACACAAUGAGUCAUUUUCUUGGAGUUGUGUUGUUGUUCUUCAGCAUCCUUGUAUAAUGCCUUGUGCGCGUGUGUUGCGGUAUUGUGUUGUAUUGUGUUGUAUGUGCUGAAUUGUAUUAUUUAUAUAUAAAAUGGAGUGGGAGUCUUUUUGAUAAACAAUAAGAUCAAUUGCCUCACUUGAAACUUGAAAGUGCAUUUUUUUAUUUUGACAACGGAAGUCAGGGCCAAUGCCGACCUCAUGCGCAGGAAAAGGGACAGGCACACGUACAUCCCAUCUGUGGCCAAGCUUUUUUGUUCUUUUGCACUAGUAGAAAAAGGCCCAUUAGUCCCUGUUCUAGAGGGCCUUUAGUCCCAGUUCUGGAACCGGGACUAAAUAAGGGUCGGUACUAAAGGCCCCCUCCCUUUAGUCCCGGUUCUUAUACGAACUGGAACUAAAGGCCCUCCACGUGGCCGCUGUCUGGAGCUCCACCUUUAGUCCCGGUUGGUAACACACCAACCGGGACUAAAGGAAAUUUUACGAAUUUAUUUUUUGAAUUUUUUAAAAAAAAUCCCAAUUUUCAAAUUUGUGUAUUAUUUUACAAUUUAAUCUCUAAUCACCCCUCAUCACUGCUCAAUUUAACAUCUAAUCUCUAAUCAGCCCUCGUCAUUCCAAAUCAUCUAACUUCCCGGCCGGUCACCCAUCCUUUCACAACUCCAGUCUGAGCACGCUUAACUUCCGAGUUCUAUUCCCCCUCUUUCCAAGUCUGCACUUGUUGUUUUUCUGACAAUAGUAAGAUGUCAAUCCUAUUAACCCUUAAGAGUUUAGCUUGAGCAUGAAGUCACACGUUUCAUUGUUUGAGUUUGAAACUAUUAUUUUAAAAACAGUAAUUAUUUAGUAACACUAAUACUGCUUGAAUAAGUAGUUUGACCAUUGUUUGACCAUAGUUUGACCAGAUUUGACCAAAAUUCAAAAAACCUGAAAUGAUUAUUUAGUAACACUAAUAUUCUUGAAUAAUUAUUUAGUAACACUAAUACAUCAUGAAUAAGUAGUUUGACCAUUGUUUGACCACAGUUUGGCCAGAUUUAACCAAAAUUCAAAAAAUGAAAUUUGAUCAUAUCUUUUUUUUCCUUUAAGAAUCUGAGGAUUCUAAAAAUUUGCAAAUAGGCCUACGGCGGUCAAAAUCGGAUGCGGAUUUUUGUGCUGAACAUUUUGAUAUAUUAUACUUUUUUCCGACAUCGUAUGCAAAAGUUAUAGCCGUUUUACUUUUUCCCAACACUUUUUGCAAAACAUAUCCAAAUUUAAGUUUUUAAAUUUUCCUAACUAGUAGAUGUAGUAAUAUAACUACAUCUCGAAGGAUUUUAUUGUUUUAAGUUUUUAUCAUUUUCUUCUGUUUUUUCCAAAACUGNNNNNNNNNNNNNNNNNNNNNNNNNNNNNNNNNNNNNNNNNNNNNNNNNNNNNNNNNNNNNNNNNNNNNNNNNNNNNNNNNNNNNNNNNNNNNNNNNNNNNNNNNNNNNNNNNNNNNNNNNNNNNNNNNNNNNNNNNNNNNNNNNNNNNNNNNNNNNNNNNNNNNNNNNNNNNNNNNNNNNNNNNNNNNNNNNNNNNNNNNNNNNNNNNNNNNNNNNNNNNNNNNNNNNNNNNNNNNNNNNNNNNNNNNNNNNNNNNNNNNNNNNNNNNNNNNNNNNNNNNNNNNNNNNNNNNNNNNNNNNNNNNNNNNNNNNNNNNNNNNNNNNNNNNNNNNNNNNNNNNNNNNNNNNNNNNNNNNNNNNNNNNNNNNNNNNNNNNNNNNNNNNNNNNNNNNNNNNNNNNNNNNNNNNNNNNNNNNNNNNNNNNNNNNNNNNNNNNNNNNNNNNNNNNNNNNNNNNNNNNNNNNNNNNNNNNNNNNNNNNNNNNNNNNNNNNNNNNNNNNNNNNNNNNNNNNNNNNNNNNNNNNNNNNNNNNGCGCCUCUGUCGCCAUGGCAUCCAGCAGUGGUCAUCCAUCACCGUACAUAGGUCACGCGUUUGUAGCAUAACCUGAGUCUCCGUAGUUUGUCCGGCUCAACAUAUCGGCCAUAGUGUUGAUCCCCAGAUUCGCGCACAACAUGUUGCAUGAUUGGUUCACGGAGGUUUACCUCCUUGCCAUUGGAGAUCGUUGCAUGUGGCGCACCUUUCUUCGGACAGUCCGACAUCUUCACAUGGCCAAGAGCACGUGGGAUACUAAUUGUUUGUCAGCGACAAAAGUGUACUCACGCAAUUAGCUGGACACAUCAGAGGUUUUACACACUAGCAAACACAAAGCACACAUGGAAUUUGAUGCCAUGAAAACGUGCUACAGAUUUUUAUUUGGAAUACAGAGAGAAAGAAGGGUCGUUGCACGACCGACCUAAACACACACCACGUUCCUAAUGACUCGUGCCAUCCCACGGAUCAGAUCGUGAGUGCAUGAUCUACGGCUCCACUAUUAUCACGUGUGAUCCGAUGUGCCAUGCCAUCGCAUGACUCGGUUCACGACGCGGUAGAAACGGGAGCGACCCCAACCUGAUACGUGGACUCGACGCAAACAUGCUUGCUGUCGAGACCAACUCUCAGCGCACACCGUGUGCUUGCAGGCAGCUCUAUGGCGCGUUAUUUGGAACAAACAGAUUGUAGGGAAAAAAAACCCUAGGGCAUGGAUCAGACCUCGAUCCACAAAAACCCACAUCGUGAAGUUGUCUUAGUGGAUCUCGUCAUUCUCCGAGUCAAUCUCGUCAUUCUCCGAGUCGGAUAAGUGGUUGUCCACCUGCACGUGCCUAGCCUGCCAUACCGUCAACCACAAACACCGCAUCCAGAUUCCGUUACAUUCAAUCAUCACCCAGGCGGAAAAAACUGAAAACCUUGGAAUUAAAAGUAGAUCGAGUUCAUACCCUCCUCAUCUGGGCACGGCGGUACUUGAACCAGAGUUUGAUAUGCUGGGGCUCCACAUGAAGCUAGCGACCGAGAUGAGCGCGCUGGGUCUCAUCAGGGCUGGAGCACUCCUUGAAAACACUGUACUUUUCAGAAAAAAGAAGAUGAAAAAACCUUGAAUACCGUGCACAUGGAUCACCAUGAAAAUAUGACACGAAAAAUAAGGUGUAGGAAUGGUGCUUGAUCAACCUCUCCAGGAUCUGAAUCUGGUUGUCAGUUAGAUCCAUUGUUACCAAUUUCUCGCUCACUCUCCCAGGCUGGCUAGAGGAAGAGGAAUUGGAGGCAGGAAGGUAUCUUCGUACUGGAUGCUGUGCGACCUCUGCCUUGCUCCUAUUUAUACACGAGAGUGUGGCGUUUCUCCUCUGUCACACUGCUGGCGCAAAGAAGCGCCAGUCUGUGUGACCUCUGGCUUAGUAGCAGGCUCCUAGACUGUCUCUCUUAAUGGCUCCUCCUUUUUGGCUUCUUCCACCCUAUAUUGCUGACCGUCCGUCCCUGUAUUGCUCAUGAUCUAAACACUCUUGUAUUACUUUGCAGAGGGAGUAACAAGCAGUGCUUUCAGAUUUAAACCAUGUAAUAUAUAGUUUCAUUUAGCAGAAUUUGCAAAGCACUUCAAAUCAAACAACUUCAGAGUUUAUGGACCUGCAUCGGUACGAGCCCUACUGGGUUUGGAUGCAACAAACAAAUGCAGAGUGACCUGAAAAUGGCCGGUGACCUGUCUUGAGUUCGUAAUUUCUCCCCUCCCACAAUUACCAUUGUUCCUCUUGUAGAAAGGGAGAUAAUUGAUCCUGAAGUUACGUCCAUGUAUUGGUUGUUAACCAUUAUAAUAAAUUCUGCAAUAUUUUAGCAUGAAAUUGACAGGUAGGCAUUAAUUUCCAGCCUCUUACUUAUGUAUGGAUAUCAAAUUAAUCAAUAGUACAGGUGGGCCAUUAUGCUCUAAAUCAUAAUAUUCAAAUUCUAAGUAAGAAAAGUAGCAUAACAGUACCUGCGAGCCAAGAGCACCAAUCGGCCUAGCAGACCCAUAGCGCAUACCGCAGACGCUCGCUCUAGGAUCCUGCGCUGCCAUCUACCGCCGUCCCAUAUUCAAGAGGGAUCCUUGCACUAACCUUGCCAGGCCCAACUGCCGUUGACACCGCCACGACACCAGACAAUGCCACCAGUCUGCGUGCAUCCAUCAACCCACCUCCAACGGCGAUACUCCACCACACCAUGCUGCCGAGACCCACCGUUUUUGAUGCAGUAGAUGCAACACCGCUCCACCUCUUGGCCCCUCCAAUCAGUACCUACUCCUAAAUAGUGCCCCCAGGAGAGAGAAUGACACAAGUCUCCAUUAUCAUCUGAUCUGGGAGACCCAGAUCAUGGGUUUCCACGGAGCAGAUGCCUCAUGGAGGAAGAAGGGCAAGCCAUCUGGAGUUGCCACCGAACCCAAACAGUGCCCACCCGCCUAACGAGCCAUUUUCUUGGAGUUGUGUUGUUGUUCUUCAACAUCUUUAUACAGUGCCUUGUGUGCGUGUGUUGCGGUAUGGUGUCGUGUUGUGUUGUCUGUGCUGAAUUGUCUGAUUUGUAUAUAAAGUGGAGUAGAAGUCUUAUUGAUAAACACUGAGAUCAAUUACCCAGUUGAAACUUGAAAGUGCAUUUUUUGAUUUUGACAGCGGAAGUCAGGGCCAAGGCCGACCUCAUGCGCAGGAAAAGGGGCAAGCACACGUACAUCCCACAUGUACCCAAGCUUUUUUCUUCUUUUGGUUGCUUGUUGUUUGCUUGCGCUUAAUCCUACGAGAUUAUCAAUUGAUUAAUAAAUUUGCUUGAAUAAUGCAUUAUCAUCUGAUUUCUUGCUUAGAUCGAUGUGCUCUCUAUUUUCAAACAGUUUUGGUCUGGGCCUAUUUUGCUCAAUUGGAUAAUUUAUGUGGACAAAUUUAUCGAAUCAAAAUAAAUCAGUUUAUUUUUCUUCUGUUUCCGUUUUUCUAGGAACCUAUUUGUUGGCGUUCGAUGGGACAUAUGUUUUCAGAAACCUAACCAAUUAAUUUACCAAAUGCUAACCUUUACUUAAUCAUGUCCCAACCAUUCCNNNNNNNNNNNNNNNNNNNNNNNNNNNNNNNNNNNNNNNNNNNNNNNNNNNNNNNNNNNNNNNNNNNNNNNNNNNNNNNNNNNNNNNNNNNNNNNNNNNNNNNNNNNNNNNNNNNNNNNNNNNNNNNNNNNNNNNNNNNNNNNNNNNNNNNNNNNNNNNNNNNNNNNNNNNNNNNNNNNNNNNNNNNNNNNNNNNNNNNNNNNNNNNNNNNNNNNNNNNNNNNNNNNNNNNNNNNNNNNNNNNNNNNNNNNNNNNNNNNNNNNNNNNNNNNNNNNNNNNNNNNNNNNNNNNNNNNNNNNNNNNNNNNNNNNNNNNNNNNNNNNNNNNNNNNNNNNNNNNNNNNNNNNNNNNNNNNNNNNNNNNNNNNNNNNNNNNNNNNNNCAGCGAUGGUCAUGCAGACGGCCAUCGUCUUACAGAGGUCACACGCUUGUUGCCUAACCAAAGUCGUCGUAGUUCGUUCGGGUCAACAUAUCGGCCAUUGUGUUGAUCCCCAAACUCGUGCACAACAUACUACAUGAUUGGUUCACCGCGGUUGACCUCCUUGCCAUUGGAGAUCGUUCCAUGCCACGCACCUUUCUUCGGACUGUCUGGCAUCUUCACAUGGCCAGGAGCACAUGGAUAUAAUACUGAAUGUUUUGUCAGUGACCCAAGAUUACUCACGCAACUAGCUGGACACAUCAGAGGUUAUACAGACUAGCAAACCCAGAGCACACAUGGAAUUUGAUGCCAUGAAUACUUGCUACAGAUUUUUUUUUGGAAUACAGAGAGAAAGAACGGUCGUUGCACGACCGACCUAAACACAAACAACCUUCCUAAUGACUCGUGCCAUCCCACGAAUCAGAUCCUGGGUCCAGGAUCUACAGCUCCACUAUUAUCGCCUGUGAUCCGAUGUGCCAUGCCAUCCCAUGACUCGGUUCACGACGCGGUAGAAACGGGAGCGACCCCAACCUGACACAUGGACUCGAUGCAUGGACUCGACGCAAACAUGCUUGCCGUCGAGACCGACUCUCAGUGCGUACCAUCUGCUCGCAGGCAGGUCUAUGACACGUUAUUUGGAACAAACAGACUGAAGGGAAAAAACCUAGGGCAUUCACUUAGUUUACAUCAAUGGAUCAGCCCUCAAUCCACAAACCCACAUGGCGAAGUUGACUUAGUGAAUCUCGUCAUUCUCUGAGUCGGAUAAGUGGUUGUCAACCUGCUCGUCCCAAGCCUGCCAUGCCGU